GAUGAACGCUGGCGGCGUGCCUAGUACAUGCAAGUCGAGCGAAUGGAUUAAGAGCUUGCUCUUAUGAAGUUAGCGGCGGACGGGUGAGUAACACGUGGGUAACCUGCCCAUAAGACUGGGAUAACUCCGGGAAACCGGGGCUAAUACCGGAUAACAUUUUGAACCGCAUGGUUCGAAAUUGAAAGGCGGCUUCGGCUGUCACUCAUGGAUGGACCCGCGUCGCAUUAGCUAGUUGGUGAGGUAACGGCUCACCAAGGCAACGAUGCGUAGCCGACCUGAGAGGGUGAUCGGCCACACUGGGACUGAGACACGGCCCAGACUCCUACGGGAGGCAGCAGUAGGGAAUCUUCCGCAAUGGACGAAAGUCUGACGGAGCAACGCCGCGUGAGUGAUGAAGGCUUUCGGGUCGUAAAACUCUGUUGUUAGGGAAGAACAAGUGCUAGUUGAAUAAGCUAGCACCUUGACGGUACCUAACCAGAAAGCCACGGCUAACUACGUGCCAGCCGCCGCCGUAAGAC
rnacentral:rRNA from 1 species